CCUACGGGAGGCUGCAGUCGAGAAUCAUGCACAAUGGGGGAAACCCUGAUGGUGCGACGCCGCGUGGGGGAAUGAAGUUCUUCGGAUUGUAAACCCCUGUCAUGUGGGAGCAAAUUAAAAAGAUAGUACCCCAAGAGGAAGAGACGGCUAACACUGUGCCAGCAGCCGCGGUAAUACAGAGGUCUCAAGCGUUGUUCGGAAUCACUUGGCGUAAUGCGUGCGUAGGCUGUUGCGUAAGUCGUGUGUGAAAGGCGCGGGCUCAACCCGCGGACGGCACAUGAUACUGCGAGACUAGAGUAAGGGAGGGGGAACCGGAAUUCUCGGUGUAGCAGUGAAAUGCAUAGAUAUCGAGAGGAACACUCGUGGCGAAGGCGGGUUGCUGGACAUUAACUGACGCUGAGGCACGAAGGCCAGGGGAGCGAAAGGGAUUAGAUACCCUUGUAGUC
rnacentral:rRNA from 1 species